GAAACUCAUUAUAUGUUUCUUUCAAAAUUAUUUGUGGCAUAACUUUCUAAGUACAUUUCCUGAAAGGAGAAAGAGAGAGAAACACAAUAUCCAAUGAGAAAAAUUACUUACUUACUAAUGAACUAAUAUAAUUACUAUCUAUUGUCUUGGGCAACCCAUGAUAUGUUUCUUCUAAAAUUAUUUGUCCAUAUAUUGUGGCAUAACUUAAAAUACAUUUCCACAGAGAGAAAGAGAGGGAGAGAGAGAGAUUGAAACAAUAUUCAGCAAGGGGAAAAGUUCUAAUUUAUUUUUUGGGAAUUUAAUUGGAACCGGAAAAGUGAUUGUUACAUGUCAGGACUGAGCUAGACAAAUUGUGAGCUUGCAAAAUUUGUUCCAUAUUUUUCUAAACAUGAAACAAAAACAAAAAUAAAACAUUAGCAAAUCUAAUUUAGGACAUUGUUGUGUUCUUUUGUGCAUAUUGGCCAGUAAGGGGAAACAGAGGUUUGUGGUAUAUGUUUAGUUGAAAAUAGAAGAGUGAGAGAGUCAGAAGUAUUCCACCUGCUACUGCGUGUGCUGUACCUGUGAUGAGUAUUGAAGAGAGAGGACUCAAAUGCGAGGGCAAAAUGACAGUCUUUAAUUAAACAAAGGAAAGCCACAGGUAAAUCCAACCAAGGAGUACAAAAGAUGAGAACAGAGGAAGACCCGUAGGCUGGGUAGUAUAAAUAACUCAGGAGACCUCUGUGGCUGGAACGACCAGCAGGCUGGCGAGGCGGAGGCUUGACUGGGCUCAGGGGAGAACCGGAGACUGGAGCUCGCAGAGCGCGGAGGCCGCGGCGUUGGAUAGCAGGUAAGGUUCUGUGGGGUGCAAAUGGUGAGCACAGAGAAAUUCGGGCAGUGAUAGUGGUUAACAAAACCCACCCCCGACUAGACCGGACCGGACUGGACAGGACAAGACCAACUCUAAGUGAAGACGCCAAUGACCAAUGCUUCAUUCGGAGGCUUGACUGGGCUCAGGGGAGAACCGGAGACUGGAGCUCGCAGAGCGCGGAGGCCGCGGCGUUGGAUAGCAGGUAAGGUUCUGUGGGGUGCAAAUGGUGAGCACAGAGAAAUUCGGGCAGUGAUAGUGGUUAACAAAACCCACCCCCGACUAGACCGGACCGGACUGGACAGGACAAGACCAACACUAAGUGAAGACGCCAAUGACCAAAAUGACCAAUGCUUCAUUCGGAGGUAACAAUCUGACAAAGAGACACGAGAACGAGAGGGUAGAAGUAGCCCAGAUAACAAGGCAAUAUGAGAAGCAGGUGGAGGGGAAAUUAUCUUAAUGAGAAGUGAAGUCAGCUGUGACACAGAAGCGAAGAGCGGGGGAGACAGGAGAGGAGAAACCAGCAGGGGGAGACAGAGAGAGAAAAGGAGAGAGAUAGAGACAGGAUCAUGACAAGACCAUGACAGUACCGUUCUGCUACUUAAUUUGGUUAAAUAAAGAAUUUUUUAUUUUCAAAUACCUCCUCAUUGCUUCUUACAAAGGAUAUAACAGACUUUAUGCCAAAAAUCAUUUUAGAGGAACUAUACUUUACAAUAGGUUGCCCAGCACAACAGUAUAUAAUUAUUUCCGACUGUUUAAACAAUGUUUAAGAUGUUCAGAACUUCCGAGGUGUAAUGUAAAAAUGAAUCCACACUAUUGGUUUUAAGUAUGGAGUUUGCCACACGGCUGGGAAAAGAGAUGAACGAAACACUUUACUGUGAAACCCUAAACCACUCUCUACCUCUUCAGAUGUCUUUGAUCAUGUAGCUUCUGAAUGAUUUUCCAUGAAGAUGAGGAGCAUGCCAAACACGCAUGGCCAACAUGGGAUACGAGUAACCAGCACAACACGGAAUUCAGAAUCACCCCCAGAGACACCAUUAAACUUUAACAGGGUAAAGGGUUCAGGGGGCUUAUGGCUGCCAAGUCGAUUUUAAGCAGUGAAUGUCCAAUUAAAUCAUCAAAUGAUCCAUCGACGCUCGAGAAACAACUUCAUGCGCAAUCUUAAUUACAUAAAUGACAGAAGUGACAAACCUUUGUUCACGUGACUCAAGGAUGAAGGUUAAAAAAAAGAAGGACAGAAAUAUAUGAGGACUGAGAUGAUGCUGUUUCACUUGUCGGCUGAAUAAUUAACAAGACUUGACAAGAUCCAAUGUGUUCCCACAAAGCACAACGUAACGCAUCUGAAGCUAGCCUUUUAGAACAUAGAGCUGUACUCUAGUCUGCAGGAUAAAAGGUGUCAGGAAUAUUUAAGCAUGUCGUUUCUGAAAUGUUGACAGCGUGACCCUCAAGGCAUGAAGCGAUUUGGAUCUUUUAAAGCUGUGGCACUGAAGGGGCUCAGUCAAGAUUCCAAUAUUAAACACUCACACUCUUUCAUCUGUUUUACUCACUAUCAAUGGCAUGCAUUCAAUUUCAAAGCGUCGGAUAAGACUGAAAAACAAUCAAGAUUUGUGGCUUGAAUGUCUGGAUCUAGCAUAUUGAUUGGCUGUAUGGGAUUUCUCAAAAAUAAAAAGAAGCCACUUGUGUCAGUGAGUUACAACAACUCAGAAUAAUAGGA
rnacentral:lncRNA from 1 species